rnacentral:lncRNA from 1 species
CCAUCGUCCAAUAUGGCCACCAGCAGGGGACUUAGUUUAACAUAGGACCCUAUGGGAAAUUCAUACAAAUGACUUCUUUUAGAGAACCACUGAAUGGAAUGAAAUCAAACAUAGUAUGAAUGUUCCUUAUGAGGUGCUGACCAAGUGUUCUUACUUUGUAGCUGAUCCAACAUCUAAGAUGGGCACCAGUUGGGUGACUUUGUUUACCAUAGGACCCUAUGGGAAAUGCAUACAAAAGACUUCUUCUAGAGAACCACUGAAUUGAAUGAAACCAAACAUGGCAUAAAUGUUCCUUUCCUAAUGAGGUGGUGGCCAAGUUUUGUUACUUUGUA